rnacentral:lncRNA from 1 species
GAGGAUGAUAGUGGUAUUUUGAUGAUUAAUACAAUGAUUAAGAGUAUGUUACAAGUUAAUUUGAUACAUCAUUAAUAAGUCCGUCACUCUCGAUACAUUAGUAUAAUGAGAUAAAGAUGCAUUUCAUUGAUUAUUAAUGAGAUAAAAUUUGCGAUAGGAAAGGGAUAGUGAAUUCUAAAUUCUAAUUCGGCAAAGCUUCAAGUGAGAUAUACUCUUAAGUGGACAAUAGUAAUUUUCAUUGUUUGGAGUAUGUAGCACUACCAUGACAUAUAUUCAAAAUUGCUUAAAGUUUAUUUUAUUGAUUAUAUGGAUGAAUCUAACCUUAAGUUGCAGCAAAGUGUGGAUUGAGUCGACCCCAAGAUUGAUUGAGUCGACCCCGGCACAUCAAGAAACCAUCUGGCAUACUUCUGCAAAAAUGGCACGGAUGAACAGUACUUGGGUCGACCCAAGUAAAGGAUGAGUCGACCCAAUCCUCAAGCCUCAAGAAAAUAGUUCUCUGGAAACC